rnacentral:rRNA from 1 species
GGCGGCAGCUACACAUGCAGUCGAGCGGGGGAAGGUAGCUUGCUACCGGACCUAGCGGCGGACGGGUGAGUAAUGCUUAGGAAUCUGCCUAUUAGUGGGGGACAACAUCUCGAAAGGGAUGCUAAUACCGCAUACGUCCUACGGGAGAAAGCAGGGGAUCUUCGGACCUUGCGCUAAUAGAUGAGCCUAAGUCGGAUUAGCUAGUUGGUGGGGUAAAGGCCUACCAAGGCGACGAUCUGUAGCGGGUCUGAGAGGAUGAUCCGCCACACUGGGACUGAGACACGGCCCAGACUCCUACGGGAGGCAGCAGUGGGGAAUAUUGGACAAUGGGGGGAACCCUGAUCCAGCCAUGCCGCGUGUGUGAAGAAGGCCUUAUGGUUGUAAAGCACUUUAAGCGAGGAGGAGGCUACUUUAGUUAAUACCUAGAGAUAGUGGACGUUACUCGCAGAAUAAGCACCGGCUAACUCUGUGCCAGCAGCCGCGGUAAUACAGAGGGUGCGAGCGUUAAUCGGAUUUACUGGGCGUAAAGCGUGCGUAGGCGGCUUAUUAAGUCGGAUGUGAAAUCCCCGAGCUUAACUUGGGAAUUGCAUUCGAUACUGGUGAGCUAGAGUAUGGGAGAGGAUGGUAGAAUUCCAGGUGUAGCGGUGAAAUGCGUAGAGAUCUGGAGGAAUACCGAUGGCGAAGGCAGCCAUCUGGCCUAAUACUGACGCUGAGGUACGAAAGCAUGGGGAGCAAACAGGAUUAGAUACCCUGGUAGUCCAUGCCGUAAACGAUGUCUACUAGCCGUUGGGGCCUUUGAGGCUUUAGUGGCGCAGCUAACGCGAUAAGUAGACCGCCUGGGGGAGUACGGUCGCAAGACUAAAACUCAAAUGAAUUGACGGGGGGCCCGCACAAGCGGUGGAAGCAUGUGGUUUAAUUCGAUGCAACGCGAAGAAACCUUACCUGGCCUUGACAUACUAGAAACUUUCCAGAAAAUGGAAUGGUGCCUUCGGGAAUCUAGAUAACAGGUGCUGCAUGGCUGUCGUCAGCUC